GAGUAUAUAGUUUAAUGGUAGAACAUUUGUCUUUUAAGCAAUUUAAUGUUGGUUCGAAUCCAACUAUACUCA
rnacentral:tRNA from 1 species